rnacentral:rRNA from 1 species
UCGCNUCUGCUGUGAAAGGCUGGGGCUUAACCCUGGUUUUGCAGUGGGUACGGGCUAACUAGAGUGCAGUAGGGGAGACUGGAAUUCCUGGUGUAGCGGUGGAAUGCGCAGAUAUCAGGAGGAACACCGAUGGCGAAGGCAGGUCUCUGGGCUGUAACUGACGCUGAGAAGCGAAAGCAUGGGGAGCGAACAGGAUUAGAUACCCUGGUAGUCCAUGCCGUAAACGUUGGGCACUAGGUGUGGGGGACAUUCCACGUUUUCCGCGCCGUAGCUAACGCAUUAAGUGCCCCGCCUGGGGAGUACGGCCGCAAGGCUAAAACUCAAAGAAAUUGACGGGGGCCCGCACAAGCGGCGGAGCAUGCGGAUUAAUUCGAUGCAACGCGAAGAACCUUACCAAGGCUUGACAUAUACUGGACUGCGUCAGAGAUGGCGUUUCCCUUCGGGGCUGGUAUACAGGUGGUGCAUGGUUGUCGUCAGCUCGUGUCGUGAGAUGUUGGGUUAAGUCCCGCAACGAGCGCAACCCUCGUUCUAUGUUGCCAGCACGUGAUGGUGGGGACCCAUAGGAGACUGCCGGGGUCAACUCGGAGGAAGGUGGGGAUGACGUCAAAUCAUCAUGCCCCUUAUGUCUUGGGCUUCACGCAUGCUACAAUGGCCGGUACUGAGGGUUGCGAUACUGUGAGGUGGAGCUAAUCCCUAAAAGCCGGUCUCAGUUCGGAUUGGGGUCUGCAACUCGACCCCAUGAAGUCGGAGUCGCUAGUAAUCGCAGAUCAGCAACGCUGCGGUGAAUACGUUCCCGGGCCUUGUACACACCGCCCGUCAAGUCACGAAAGUUGGUAACACCCGAAGCCGNU